GACGAACGCUGGCGGCGUGCCUAAUACAUGCAAGUUGAGCGCUGAAGGUUGGUACUUGUACCAACUGGAUGAGCAGCGAACGGGUGAGUAACGCGUGGGGAAUCUGCCUUUGAGCGGGGGACAACAUUUGGAAACGAAUGCUAAUACCGCAUAAAAACUUUAAACACAAGUUUUAAGUUUGAAAGAUGCAAUUGCAUCACUCAAAGAUGAUCCCGCGUUGUAUUAGCUAGUUGGUGAGGUAAAGGCCCACCAAGGCGAUGAUACAUAGCCGACCUGAGAGGGUGAUCGGCCACAUUGGGACUGAGACACGGCCCAAACUCCUACGGGAGGCAGCAGUAGGGGAUCUUCGGCAAUGGACGAAAGUCUGACCGAGCAACGCCGCGUGAGUGAAGGAGGUUUUCGGAUCGUAAAACUCUGUUGGUAGAGAAGAACGUUGGUGAGAGUGGAAAGCUCAUCAAGUGACGGUAACUACCCAGAAAGGGACGGCUAACUACGUG
rnacentral:rRNA from 1 species